CGAACGCUGGCGGCCGGCCUAACACAUGCAAGUCGAGCGCGCCCUUCGGGGUGAGCGGCGGACGGGUGAGUAACGCGUGGGAACGUGCCCUUUUCUACGGAAUAGCCUCGGGAAACUGAGAGUAAUACCGUAUACGCCCUUUGGGGGAAAGAUUUAUCGGAAAAGGAUCGGCCCGCGUUGGAUUAGGUAGUUGGUGGGGUAAUGGCCUACCAAGCCGACGAUCCAUAGCUGGUUUGAGAGGAUGAUCAGCCACACUGGGACUGAGACACGGCCCAGACUCCUACGGGAGGCAGCAGUGGGGAAUCUUAGACAAUGGGGGCAACCCUGAUCUAGCCAUGCCGCGUGAGUGAUGAAGGCCUUAGGGUUGUAAAGCUCUUUCAGCUGGGAAGAUAAUGACGGUACCAGCAGAAGAAGCCCCGGCUAACUCCGUG
rnacentral:rRNA from 1 species